UCUAGAUGCAUGCUCGAGCGGCCGCCAGUGUGAUGGAUAUCUGCAGAAUUCGCCCUUGGAUUAGGCAUGCAAGUCGAACGAGGAUAUAUCCUUCGGGAUAUAAGCCGAGUGGCGCAAGGGUGAGUAAUGCAUAGAUUACCUGCCUCUAGGAUAAGGACAACUUUGUGAAAACGAAGCUAAUACUUAAUAAUACAAAAGAGAAUAAUUCUCCUUUGUCAAUGGGAGGGUAGCAAUACCUUUUGCCUAGAGAGGGGUUUAUGUCCUAUCAGCUUGUUGGUGGGGUAAUGGCCUACCAAGGCGAAGACGGGUAGCCGGUCUUAGAGGAUGGUCGGCCACACUGGGACUGAGACACUGCCCAGACUUCUACGGAAGGCUGCAGUCGAGAAUCUUUCGCAAUGCCCGAAAGGGUGACGAAGCGACGCCGCGUGAGUGAGGAAGGCCUUCGGGUUGUAAAGCUCUGUCAGGAGUUAAGGAAUAUAAGUGUGCUAAUACCACAUUUAUUUGACGAAGGCUCCAAAGGAAGCCACGGCUAACUCUGUGCCAGCAGCCGCGGUAAUACAGAGGUGGCAAGCGUUGUUCGGAAUUAUUGGGCGUAAAGAGCACGUAGGUGGGUUUGUAAGUCAGAUGUGAAAGCCUUCUGUUCAACGGAAGAAUUGCAUCUGAAACUACAAGUCUUGAGUGUAGGAAGGGAGAAUGGAACUUCUGGUGGAGCGGGUGAAAUGCGUAGAUAUCAGAAGGGACGCCG
rnacentral:rRNA from 1 species